rnacentral:rRNA from 1 species
ACGCUCGACACCUACGAGAGGCAGCAGUCGGGAAUAUUGCGCAAUGGAGGAAACUCUGACGCAGUGACGCCGCGUGCAGGAAGAAGGUUUUCGGAUUGUAAACUGCUUUAGACAGGGAAGAAAGAAAUGACAGUACCUGUAGAAUAAGCUCCGGCUAACUACGUGCCAGAAGCCGCGGUAAUCUGAGCGGGCUGGCAAGGC